rnacentral:rRNA from 1 species
AUGCUGGAGGUAUCAGAAGUGCGAAUGCUGACAUAAGUAACGAUAAAGCGGGUGAAAAGCCCGCUCGCCGGAAGACCAAGGGUUCCUGUCCAACGUUAAUCGGGGCAGGGUGAGUCGACCCCUAAGGCGAGGCCGAAAGGCGUAGUCGAUGGGAAACAGGUUAAUAUUCCUGUACUUGGUGUUACUGCGAAGGGGGGACGGAGAAGGCUAUGUUGGCCGGGCGACGGUUGUCCCGGUUUAAGCGUGUAGGCUGGUUUUCUAGGCAAAUCCGGAAAAUCAAGGCUGAGGCGUGAUGACGAGGCACUACGGUGCUGAAGCAACAAAUGCCCUGCUUCCAGGAAAAGCCUCUAAGCAUCAGGUAACAUCAAAUCGUACCCCAAACCGACACAGGUGGUCAGGUAGAGAAUACCAAGGCGCUUGAGAGAACUCGGGUGAAGGAACUAGGCAAAAUGGUGCCGUAACUUCGGGAGAAGGCACGCUGAUAUGUAGGUGAAGCGACUCGCUCGUGGAGCUGAAAUCAGUCGAAGAUACCAGCUGGCUGCAACUGUUUAUUAAAAACACAGCACUGUGCAAACACGAAAGUGGACGUAUACGGUGUGACGCCUGCCCGGUGCCGGAAGGUUAAUUGAUGGGGUUAGCGCAAGCGAAGCUCUUGAUCGAAGCCCCGGUAAACGGCGGCCGUAACUAUAACGGUCCUAAGGUAGCGAAAUUCCUUGUCGGGUAAGUUCCGACCUGCACGAAUGGCGUAAUGAUGGCCAGGCUGUCUCCACCCGAGACUCAGUGAAAUUGAACUCGCUGUGAAGAUGCAGUGUACCCGCGGCAAGACGGAAAGACCCCGUGAACCUUUACUAUAGCUUGACACUGAACAUUGAGCCUUGAUGUGUAGGAUAGGUGGGAGGCUUUGAAGUGUGGACGCCAGUCUGCAUGGAGCCGACCUUGAAAUACCACCCUUUAAUGUUUGAUGUUCUAACGUUGACCCGUAAUCCGGGUUGCGGACAGUGUCUGGUGGGUAGUUUGACUGGGGCGGUCUCCUCCUAAAGAGUAACGGAGGAGCACGAAGGUUGGCUAAUCCUGGUCGGACAUCAGGAGGUUAGUGCAAUGGCAUAAGCCAGCUUGACUGCGAGCGUGACGGCGCGAGCAGGUGCGAAAGCAGGUCAUAGUGAUCCGGUGGUUCUGAAUGGAAGGGCCAUCGCUCAACGGAUAAAAGGUACUCCGGGGAUAACAGGCUGAUACCGCCCAAGAGUUCAUAUCGACGGCGGUGUUUGGCACCUCGAUGUCGGCUCAUCACAUCCUGGGGCUGAAGUAGGUCCCAAGGGUAUGGCUGUUCGCCAUUUAAAGUGGUACGCGAGCUGGGUUUAGAACGUCGUGAGACAGUUCGGUCCCUAUCUGCCGUGGGCGCUGGAGAACUGAGGGGGGCUGCUCCUAGUACGAGAGGACCGGAGUGGACGCAUCACUGGUGUUCGGGUUGUCAUGCCAAUGGCACUGCCCGGUAGCUAAAUGCGGAAGAGAUAAGUGCUGAAAGCAUCUAAGCACGAAACUUGCCCCGAGAUGAGUUCUCCCUGACUCCUUGAGAGUCCUGAAGGAACGUUGAAGACGACGACGUUGAUAGGCCGGGUGUGUAAGCGCAGCGAUGCGUUGAGCUAACCGGUACUAAUGAACCGUGAGGCUUAACCUU